rnacentral:rRNA from 1 species
UCAGGUGGCCGCAGAGAAUAGGCCCAAGCGACUGUUUACCAAAAACAUAGGUUUCUGCUAAGUCGCAAGACGAUGUAUAGGAGCUGACGCCUGCCCGGUGCUGGAAGGUUAAGGGGAUCUGUUAGAGCAAUCGAAGCAGUGAACUUAAGCCCCAGUAAACGGCGGCCGUAACUAUAACGGUCCUAAGGUAGCGAAAUUCCUUGUCGGGUAAGUUCCGACCCGCACGAAAGGCGUAACGAUUUGGGCACUGUCUCAACAACAGACUCGGUGAAAUUGUAAUUCCGGUGAAGAUGCCGGAUACCUGCGACAGGACGGAAAGACCCCAUGGAGCUUUACUGUAGCUUGACAUUGGGU